rnacentral:lncRNA from 1 species
UUUAAUAGAAGUAUAAGUAUUAAAAAAAAUUGACAACUUUUAUUUUCUUAAAUAUAAUAUUAUAAUUAAUUUAAUAAAGAUAUAUUACUACUAAAAAGUCUUUCUUCAAAAACAUAAUUAUAUAUUUAAUUUAAUAAAUAAAUAUUAGUACAAAUUUUCUCAAACCUUUUUUUUUAUUUAAGCCUAAAACAAAUUAUUUACGUAUAUUUGGCCAUGAAUCAUCUACUUUUGCAGUAAAAGCCUUACCUUAAGUACCUCGAUCUUCCUUUUUCAUACAACACCUUUUCCAAACCAUGUCUCAUCCCCCAAUUCUUCUGUUGUCAAAUCUUCGAAGCUUUUGACCUUCUGUGGUUGUGAUAAUUAC